GAGAAGAGGCGUGACAUCCAGUUAAAAGAAGAUGACAUCUUGAGAGUGGCUAGAUUAAUACUUCCUGCUGCUAAUCUCGCAAUUUCAAAGACGCUGAGAGCUUUUCUCUGGAGAGCCAUCCAUGACCCUAAAAGUAGCUCCGUUUCUCCUUCUUGGAGCUGAAUAUGGCCAUCUCAUCACGCUUCAGAGGCUAUGCGCAAUUGGGUUCUUUGUCAGCUUCACCGCCCCGAAACUAUACUUGCGCUAUUCAGCUCGGAUAAGCCAAAAAGUUGAGUGCUCCAAAUGGUGGGUUUUGAAG